UAAAGAAUUUCGGUAUGGGAUGGGGAUGCGUUCCAUUAGUUAGUUGGCGGGGUAACGGCCCACCAAGACGACGAUGGAUAGGGGUUCUGAGAGGAAGGUCCCCCACAUUGGAACUGAGACACGGUCCAAACUCCUACGGGAGGCAGCAGUGAGGAAUAUUGGUCAAUGGACGAGAGUCUGAACCAGCCAAGUAGCGUGAAGGAUGACUGCCCUAUGGGUUGUAAACUUCUUUUAUAUGGGAAUAAAACGUUCCACGUGUGGGAUUUUGUAUGUACCAUAUGAAUAAGGAUCGGCUAACUCCGUGCCAGCAGCCGCGGUAAUACGGAGGAUCCGAGCGUUAUCCGGAUUUAUUGGGUUUAAAGGGAGCGUAGGUGGAUUGUUAAGUCAGUUGUGAAAGUUUGCGGCUCAACCGUAAAAUUGCAGUUGAAACUGGCAGUCUUGAGUACAGUAGAGGUGGGCGGAAUUCGUGGUGUAGCGGUGAAAUGCUUAGAUAUCACGAAGAACUCCGAUUGCGAAGGCAGCUCACUGGACUGCAACUGACACUGAGGCUCGAAAGUGUGGGUAUCAAACAGGAUUAGAUACCCUGGUAGUCCACACAGUAAACGAUGAAUACUCGCUGUUUGCGAUAUACAGCAA
rnacentral:rRNA from 1 species